ensembl:lncRNA
UUCUCAACCAGGGAUCUAUAUCCUCAUUCCUGACUAGGCCGGCUACUGCUAAACUACUGUGCUUUCUCUCUCACACGGUCUUGUUCUAUGUCUAUUCUAAUACUCGUGGCACAAAACACUGAAUACUGUAUAUGUCUAAAAACGAACACAGACUAGUGCACCAUUUAUGGAUGUAUUGAAACUGCACUUCUACUCAACCCGUGGGACAGAAUUACAUGGAACUGGGAGACUUUCUGAUCAAAACAACACAUAUACAGGAUUAAACAGGACCCAGAGUUUUAUAGCUUAUAUAUAUAUAAAACUAAAACAAGGGCCCCGAGUUGUUCCUUGUUAGUUCACACAAUCAUGCAGAUAAUACUCCUGGCUCUGAGUUAGCAAUGAGACCUACAUGCAGGAUGUUCAGGAAUGCUGGACUAAAAACACAACUAAUAGUAGUUGUUGUUGUUAGCGUUAGCACAAAUGGCAAAUCAAUGAUAUUUUAAUAACUACUAGGACCUAUACUACUACUACUACUACUACUACUACUACUACUACUACUACUGCUGCUGCUACUACUACUACUACUACUACUACUACUACUACUACUGCUACUGCUACUGCUACUGCUGCUACUGCUGCUACUACUACUACUACUGCUACUGCUACUGCUACUGCUACUGCUGCUGCUGCUGCUGCUACUGCUACUGCUACUGCUACUGCUACUGCUGCUGCUGCUACUGCUACUGCUGCUGCUACUGCUACUGCUACUGCUGCUGCUGCUACUGCUACUGCUACUGCUACUGCUACUGCUACUACUACUGCUACUGCUACUGCUACUGCUACUGCUACUACUACUACUACUACUACUACUACUACUACUACUACUACUACUACUACCCCUGAGAUUGGCUGCAUCCCAAACGGCACCCGAUCCCCUAUAUAAUGUAAUACUUUUGCCCAGUUCCCCAUAGGGCUCUGGUCUAAAGUAGUGCACUAUUUAGGGUAUAGGGUAGUGUUUUGGUCUACAGGGUGAAACCUCCUUUGUCUUUUCCCUCUUCUUGUGUAUUUUGCAUUUUUAAAACUGUGUUCGUACAUUAGGACUGUCGAUUACCGUUGAUAUAACUAUUAUUAUUGUUAUUAUUAUUAUUAUUAAAAAAAUUACAUUUCUUAUCGGAUUUUGGUAUUUUGUCUUUUUUUGUGUGUGUGUGUGUG